CCAAUAGCCUCUGCCCCACGAUGUAGUUCCUUUCCACAAUGUUGGAGAUGAAGCUGGGCUUCGGGUCUGUACCUGCAUAUUUCUACAACUUUUCAAAGUCCCGUGGAUGAUGACGGGGGAGACAAGCCAUUCAGGAAACAGUC
rnacentral:snoRNA from 1 species